UCCUGGGACGGGCUUCCUGGGUCGUAACUUUGCUACGUCCGUGGCCCGCACUCCUUGCUCCCGAUUGCGUGCAAAAGAAGCGGGGAAGGCAAGGGCCAGGUUUUCCAGGCUGCGAGCAGAUUAUCGCGGCUCAGUUGAGCUCUGCUGUGCCUGCGCUCCCGGGGUGGGCAGAGUCGCGGCCAUGUGGCUGUGCCCGGUCCUGGGGCUCCUGGCCGGCGCUGCCCUCUUGACCCCGCUGGGGACCUCGGACGUUCUCUUCGGAGUCUCGCAUCCCCAUCUCCCCAGUUUUCUGCUCUCCUUCCGCGCCUUGGUGCUCCUCUCUUGCGGACCCCACAGCCUUCGCUAUAACCUCACAGCGCUGUCCCAGGAUGGGUCUGUGCAAUCGAGGUUUGUCACUCAGGGCUAUUUGGAUGGUCGGCCCUUCCUGCACUAUGAGCAUGGGAAAGGCAGGGCCGAGCCCUGGAGGACGUGGGCAGAAGCGGUCCUGGGAGCUGAGACAUGGGACACAGAGACCGAGGCCCUGAUGGAGAUGGGGAAGGACCUCAGAAUGGCUCUGGCAGACAUCAUGGCCCUGCAGACUCUGAAAAGAGGAAAAGCACUGGUGCAUCGGAGUGGGUAGAUCACUGUGAGCGCAGCUGCUGCUGCUCUUGCUGUCAUGGUGGGUGUUGUGGGUGCCCUUUGGUGUGCGAAGAGAAGAGAACCAGCUGAGGACAGCCCAGAACCUGUGAAGCUACAAGUCCAGUGAAAACACCAGGUGGCGCCAACAGACUAUAAUGGCCCCACCGCUGAGCUUUCAGUCCUUGUCCAGCGCCUCAGUCCAGAUGGAUCUGGGGGAGCACAGAAUUUGCAGCCAGGCGGCCUGGAUUCAACUCACUGCCCUGCUCUUACUCACACUUUCUUUCUUGCUACCUCAGUUUCUCCAUCUGUGAAAUGUGAGGACAUUGCAGCACUUACCUCUAGGGCAGCAUUUUUCAACACUGGCACCAUUAACACUUUGGGUCAGAAAAUCCUUGCUAAGGGGGCUGUCGCAUGCAUUGAGGAGUGUUAACAGCAUCCCUGACCUCUCCCACUAGAUGCCAGUAGCACCCCACGUUACAUCCCCAUCCACCGAGUGUGACAGACAGUUAAAUAUGUCUUAUGUCUCCAAAAUCUCCUAAGGCUGAGAAUCAAGGAGGUGCGGCCAGGCCAGAAACUCUGCUUUUCUGGGUCUAUUCUGGGCCUAAAGCAGGACUGGGUCAUGAGUUUUCACCUGGACAUGUGCGCUCAGCUUUGGCUUUGGCCCAAAUAAGGCCUCUUUACCCCUAUUUUUUUGUCAUUAAAACUCUAUCCACCUUUAAAAUGAAACAGACUUCCCCCUUAUAUCUGCAUUUAAUUAUCCUUCUGUACCCUUUCUUUUGGUAUAUCCUAGAAUGCAUCAAAUCCAGUUCUAGUAAUUAGCACACCUGACAUAUCCUUCCUGAGUAGAGUUCUGAUUCCUUUAGGAUAAGAAUAUGCUCUCGAGUCUGCUAUCCAGCUGGCCUAACUCAAUUUGUUUUAUGUUACUUCUCCAGGAUGAGGAUUCUCCUCAUCUUUAAAUUAUGAAUAUGAAUACUUGAAUCAUUCAGCAGUUUAUUUCUUCUUUUAAUAAAUAUUUAUUGCACACCCACUACAAGUCAAAUAUCGUGGCAUUAUAUUGUUUCAAGGAUCACAUCAGAGCAAAUAAACCGUAUUAAAGAUGUUGUAAGCUA